UUACCGAGUUUACAACUCCCAAACCCCUGUGAACAUACCAUUUGUUACCUCGGCGGUGCCUGCUUCGGCAGCCCGCCAGAGGACCCAAACCCUUGAUUUUAUACAGUAUCUUCUGAGUAAAUGAUUAAAUAAAUCAAAACUUUCAACAACGGAUCUCUUGGUUCUGGCAUCGAUGAAGAACGCAGCGAAAUGCGAUAAGUAAUGUGAAUUGCAGAAUUCAGUGAAUCAUCGAAUCUUUGAACGCACAUUGCGCCCGCCAGUAUUCUGGCGGGCAUGCCUGUUCGAGCGUCAUUUCAACCCUCAAGCCCCCGGGCUUGGUGUUGGAGAUCGGCGUGCCCUCCGGGGCGCGCCGGCCCCCAAAUAUAGUGGCGGUCUCGCUGUAGCUUCCUCUGCGUAGUAGCACACCUCGCACUGGGAAACAGCGUGGCCACGCCGUUAAACCCCCCACUUCUGAAAGGUUGACCUCGGAUCAGGUAGGAAUACCCGCUGAACUUAA
rnacentral:rRNA from 1 species